AUAACCACUUGGCGCCGGGUUCAGGGUGAUCAGGAAUGCUCUUACCCCGGGUGGAGGCUCACCAUUGCACUUCAGUGGGUUGAAACUCGCGACGAACCCUAAUCGGGUGCGCUCGGGCGUGUAGUUUUACACAUAACAACUACAUAUUAAUCUAUGGGUUUUA
rfam:Schistosoma mansoni, Puerto Rico, WGS project CABG01000000 data, contig: 0094